rnacentral:rRNA from 1 species
CCUACGGGAGGCAGCAGUGAGGAAUAUUGGUCAAUGGGCGCGAGCCUGAACCAGCCAAGUCGCGUGAGGGGAGACGGUCCUAUGGAUUGUAAACCUCUUUUGUCGGGGAGCCAAAGACGCCACGCGUGGCGUUCCGAGAGUCCCCGAAGAAACAGCAUCGGCUAACUCCGUGCCAGCAGCCGCGGUAAUACGGAGGAUGCGAGCGUUAUACGGAGUUAUUGGGUGUAAAGGGUGCGCAGGGGGAAGAUCACGUCAGCGGUAAAAUUGAGAGGCUCAACCUCAUCGGGCCGUUGAAACUGGUUUUCUUGAGUGAGCGAGAAGUAUGCGGAAUGCGGGGUGUAGCGGUGAAAUGCAGAGAUAUGACGAAGAACCCCGAUUGCGAAGGCAGCUUGCUGCAGCGGAACUGACGCUGAUGCUCGAAAGCGCGGGUAUCGAACAGGAUUAGAUACCCUUGUAGUC